CCUCUAGAUGAGGAUGAGCAGAUCUCCUACAUCAUCGCUGGGCUGGGUAUGAAGUACCAGCCACUGGCGUCGGCCCUCGAUGCCCGCACCGAACCCGUCACUCUCGAUGAUCUGUUCGCUCAGAUGAGCAACUUCGAUC
rfam:Triticum aestivum genome assembly, contig: Triticum_aestivum_CS42_TGACv1_scaffold_080470_1DS